rnacentral:lncRNA from 1 species
AUUCCUUUCCUUUCCAGGUUUACUUCGAGCGUUUCCUUUCCCUCCUUUGGGAUAAAUAACGCACGGUGGCGGCUCUGUAUCUUUUCCCACCGGUUGUUUUUCGCGUUGCGACACAUACUGAUAGGAAAUCUUAACAUGAUUGAAACAAAGUUUCCCCCUACACUUAAAUAAAACAUUGUCCCCAAUGUUUCAAAAAUACGAAAAAAAAGGAAAAAAAUGAUAACCAAACUCAAUUCUGCCUGCGUCCUCUUGUU